GGGUUGUGAGGUUAAGCGACUAAGCGUACACGGUGGAUGCCCUGGCAGUCAGAGGCGAUGAAGGGCGUGCUAAUCUGCGAUAAGCGCCGGUAAGGUGAUAUGAACCGUUAUAACCGGCGAUACCCGAAUGGGGAAACCCAGUGUGACUCGUCACACUAUCAUUAACUGAAUCCAUAGGUUAAUGAGGCGAACCGGGGGAACUGAAACAUCUAAGUACCCCGAGGAAAAGAAAUCAACCGAGAUUCCCCCAGUAGCGGCGAGCGAACGGGGAGGAGCCCAGAGCCUGAAUCAGCAUGUGUGUUAGUGGAAGCGUCUGGAAAGGCGCGCGAUACAGGGUGACAGCCCCGUACACAAAAGCGCAUGUGCUGUGAGCUCGAUGAGUAGGGCGGGACACGUGGUAUCCUGUCUGAAUAUGGGGGGACCAUCCUCCAAGGCUAAAUACUCCUGACUGACCGAUAGUGAACCAGUACCGUGAGGGAAAGGCGAAAAGAACCCCGGCGAGGGGAGUGAAAAAGAACCUGAAACCGUGUACGUACAAGCAGUGGGAGCNNGUGACUGCGUACCUUUUGUAUAAUGGGUCAGCGACUUAUAUUCUGUAGCAAGGUUAACCGAAUAGGGGAGCCGGAGGGAAACCGAGUCUUAACCGGGCGUUAAGUUGCAGGGUAUAGACCCGAAACCCGGUGAUCUAGCCAUGGGCAGGUUGAAGGUUGGGUAACACUAACUGGAGGACCGAACCGACUAAUGUUGAAAAAUUAGCGGAUGACCUGUGGCUGGGGGUGAAAGGCCAAUCAAACCGGGAGAUAGCUGGUUCUCCCCGAAAGCUAUUUAGGUAGCGCCUCGUGAAUUCAUCUCCGGGGGUAGAGCACUGUUUCGGCUAGGGGGCCAUCCCGGCUUACCAACCCGAUGCAAACUGCGAAUACCGGAGAAUGUUAUCACGGGAGACACACGGCGGGUGCUAACGUCCGUCGUGAAGAGGGAAACAACCCAGACCGCCAGCUAAGGUCCCAAAGUCAUGGUUAAGUGGGAAACGAUGUGGGAAGGCCCAGACAGCCAGGAUGUUGGCUUAGAAGCAGCCAUCAUUUAAAGAAAGCGUAAUAGCUCACUGGUCGAGUCGGCCUGCGCGGAAGAUGUAACGGGGCUAAACCAUGCACCGAAGCUGCGGCAGCGACACUGUGUGUUGUUGGGUAGGGGAGCGUUCUGUAAGCCUGUGAAGGUGUGUCGUGAGGCAUGCUGGAGGUAUCAGAAGUGCGAAUGCUGACAUAAGUAACGAUAAAGCGGGUGAAAAGCCCGCUCGCCGGAAGACCAAGGGUUCCUGUCCAACGUUAAUCGGGGCAGGGUGAGUCGACCCCUAAGGCGAGGCCGAAAGGCGUAGUCGAUGGGAAACGGGUUAAUAUUCCCGUACUUGGUGUUACUGCGAAGGGGGGACGGAGAAGGCUAUGUUGGCCGGGCGACGGUUGUCCCGGUUUAAGNNGACGAGGCACUACGGUGCUGAAGCAACAAAUGCCCUGCUUCCAGGAAAAGCCUCUAAGCAUCAGGUAACAUCAAAUCGUACCCCAAACCGACACAGGUGGUCAGGUAGAGAAUACCAAGGCGCUUGAGAGAACUCGGGUGAAGGAACUAGGCAAAAUGGUGCCGUAACUUCGGGAGAAGGCACGCUGACACGUAGGUGAAGUGAUUUACUCAUGGAGCUGAAGUCAGUCGAAGAUACCAGCUGGCUGCAACUGUUUAUUAAAAACACAGCACUGUGCAAACACGAAAGUGGACGUAUACGGUGUGACGCCUGCCCGGUGCCGGAAGGUUAAUUGAUGGGGUCAGCGCAAGCGAAGCUCCUGAUCGAAGCCCCGGUAAACGGCGGCCGUAACUAUAACGGUCCUAAGGUAGCGAAAUUCCUUGUCGGGUAAGUUCCGACCUGCACGAAUGGCGUAAUGAUGGCCAGGCUGUCUCCACCCGAGACUCAGUGAAAUUGAACUCGCUGUGAAGAUGCAGUGUACCCGCGGCAAGACGGAAAGACCCCGUGAACCUUUACUAUAGCUUGACACUGAACAUUGAGCCUUGAUGUGUAGGAUAGGUGGGAGGCUUUGAAGUGUGGACGCCAGUCUGCAUGGAGCCGACCUUGAAAUACCACCCUUUAAUGUUUGAUGUUCUAACGUGGACCCGUUACCCGGGUUGCGGACAGUGUCUGGUGGGUAGUUUGACUGGGGCGGUCUCCUCCUAAAGAGUAACGGAGGAGCACGAAGGUUGGCUAAUCCUGGUCGGACAUCAGGAGGUUAGUGCAAUGGCAUAAGCCAGCUUGACUGCGAGCGUGACGGCGCGAGCAGGUGCGAAAGCAGGUCAUAGUGAUCCGGUGGUUCUGAAUGGAAGGGCCAUCGCUCAACGGAUAAAAGGUACUCCGGGGAUAACAGGCUGAUACCGCCCAAGAGUUCAUAUCGACGGCGGUGUUUGGCACCUCGAUGUCGGCUCAUCACAUCCUGGGGCUGAAGUAGGUCCCAAGGGUAUGGCUGUUCGCCAUUUAAAGUGGUACGCGAGCUGGGUUUAGAACGUCGUGAGACAGUUCGGUCCCUAUCUGCCGUGGGCGCUGGAGAACUGAGGGGGGCUGCUCCUAGUACGAGAGGACCGGAGUGGACGCAUCACUGGUGUUCGGGUUGUCAUGCCAAUGGCACUGCCCGGUAGCUAAAUGCGGAAGAGAUAAGUGCUGAAAGCAUCUAAGCACGAAACUUGCCCCGAGAUGAGUUCUCCCUGAGACUUAGAGUCUCCUGAAGGAACGUUGAAGACGACGACGUUGAUAGGCCGGGUGUGUAAGCGCAGCGAUGCGUUGAGCUAACCGGUACUAAUGAACCGUGAGGCUUAACCUUACAACGCCGAAG
rnacentral:rRNA from 1 species